UGAUUGAAGCUUCGGCUGAUUGACCCAAGUGAGAGCGGCGAAAGGGAGAGUAACGCGUAGAUACGUACCCCGAGACCCGGGAUAGCGUCGGGAAACUGGCGGUAAUACCGGAUAAUGUCUCCGGACCAAAGGUGUGAUUCCGUCUUGGGAGCGGUCUGCGUCCUAUUAGGUUGUUGGUGGGGUAAUGGCCUACCAAGCCGAAGAUGGGUAGCGGGUGUGAGAGCAUGACCCGUCUCACUGGGACUGAGACACUGCCCAGACACCUACGGGUGGCUGCAGUCGAGAAUCUUCCGCAAUGGACGAAAGUCUGACGGAGCGACGCCGCGUGCGGGAUGAAGGCCUUCGGGUUGUAAACCGCUGUCAGUUGGGAGGAAAUGCAUGGUGGCUAUCCAUCAUGUUUGACCGGUCUUCAGAGGAAGUCCGGGCUAAGUUCGUGCCAGCAGCCGCGGUAACACGAACCGGACGAACGUUAUUC
rnacentral:rRNA from 1 species